UGCUAGGGGCUGCCAACCUGGAUAGGGGACCUGGCUGUCAGGAAGUUAAUUAUAUGUUUCCUUUUUUUUUUUUUUUAAACAAUAAAGGUUAAAAGCAAACAGGCAAAAACUUGGUUAUGCACACACUUGAACAUGUAUGUAUAGGCAUGCAGUCUCAUCUCCAGGCAUGCACGUUGAAAUUCCCAGCACCUGGUGUGGAUGUGGGGGCUCUGUAGGUCCCACACCCCUUUGACUCUGCCAGCACCAGCAAAAGCCAAAGCUGAGCAGCAGCGCAAGAGUAGCCAUGUUGUCACUGGAAAGGUGCUGGUCCAGCAUGCAGGAGCUUAGAGACCUGAAAGUUGUGGUACAGGGUUGGCCUUAUCCAUAAGUUGUAUGUUGGGAAUAAGAGCCAAGCAGGAGGUAACUGGUCAAAAAUAUGCUUUUUUUUUUUUUUUUCUCAGAACUGACACUUUCUCAGCAGACAUCACUUCUUAGCUUUCUUCAAACCUCUCCCUUUCUGUCUUUGGAUAAUUGCCUCUCAUUUCUUAGAGUGAAAGCCUGAAGUACUCUCUUUAUUUAUUUUAAUUUUAACGUUGCCACCAUUAUCGUCAGACCAAGCAAAUGAUGGCAAAAAGCAGAAGCAGUCACCAAGGCCCUUUUAUCUCAGCUUUAGUCUCUGCUAACUACAAAUCACAGUAGAGGAGUUAAAUUUAAUGCAGCUGAUCUGAGAGGAAAGAGGAGAAGGGAAUUGGCAAAUGUAUGUGUUAGUGAAACAUAAUGGUAGAAAAGGUCUCUAAAAAGAUGGCUUCCAAAGCUUUUAUAAGCACAAUUGUGAAUAUAUUUCAGUUUUAUCUUUCCCUGUUAAAAAGUGCAAGAAAAUAAACGGGGAUGUCAACCUAAACAACCGCUAGCAUUGUUGCGCAGAGGGAAAAUAUUGUAAUUAGGAUAUCAGAUCUCUAAAAUGUCUUAUCCAGAUCAGCAGAACUUAGCUGAAAUGGCUUGUUUCACUCUAUUAUAAAGAGUAUAUUUAACUUGACCAUUUAUGAAUAGCUAAUAUGUUUCUAAUAUGACUGCUUUUUAGACAUCACAUUUGCAAAUGACUCAUCCACUCUUUUUUAUUAUUAUUAUUACUACUAGUCCUUUAAAAAUAAUUAACACAAAUAAAUCAAGUAGACUAUUUAAUAUAAUGAAUUCACAAGCAGAUGAAGUAAUUAUUUUGGAAAUUAUUAUAGCAAAUUGAGGUUUUCUUUAUUUUACCAGUGGGGUUUUUUACAUGGGAAAAGCCAAAUUUUUAUGACAGCUGGCUGCUUGUAUACAAUUAUAGCUGGUGCAUAUCUGUAAACUUGUUACCUACAUUUGUAAGCCGAAUCUAUGUAUUUUUCUCUCGCUCUGCUGAAGAAUUAUUAACAUAUAUAGAAAUUGCCAUAAAAAAAAAAGUUAAAAUAAAACACAAGCAUAGAGGACUAUGAAGAGUCACUGGAGAACUUUCUGUGGCUUCCACUAAAACUGUGUCCAUUGACUGGGGUUUAAAGCAAACUGAAUAAAGUCUUGUCAACUACUUAGAACUAUAAUAUAUAUAUUAAUAUUCUGACUUUACAAUGGCCAGGAAGCUUUCUGGUUAUUACAGCUAUAUUUGCUUAUGGGCAAAUAUAUUUACUGAAGGUGUUAAAUUGCCAGUGAAUACUGUGCCAAAUAUCUGAUGAAAACAAAUGCAAUGUAACAAAACCUUUAAGUAUUCUUGAUGAAGCAGGGUAUGUAAAUUUUGGUUGCCAAAAUUGUGGGCCAAAUUUUAUAGGGCUUAAUGACAUGAGAAAUAGACCGAAACUAAGGAACUGUAGAUACCCCAUCUGUGGAAGUGUUCAGGGUCAGACUGGAUGGGGCCUUGAGCCACCUGGUCUAGUGGAAGAUGUUCCUGAUGAUGGCAGGGGAUUGGAUUAGGUGGGUUUUUGGACUCAGUGAUAUCUAGAGGUCUUUUCUAACCAUUGCAGUUCUGUCUUCAAGUGCCCUUUUCCAUGUAAUCCAUUCUGUAAUUCAUCCUAUGAUUAAAAUGCCUGUGAGAUGCAGGCAACUCACUAGUAUCAAAGACCUAGUUAUUUCUGAAGUAGUAUAUUCCCAGGAAUGUCAUGUACCAGUAUCUUUGUAUCCAAAUAAACUUCUGCUCCUGCUCAACCCUGGAAGCAGGACAUACUGUCCAUUCGGGGGUGCUGAGUUCACCACUGCUGACUUGUAUGAAUUAGUCUUCCAGACUACCACCUGUGGGUCUUGACAUUUGCAGAGCACAACCCGUGUCUUACUUCCAUCACCCACUGGAGAUGCCAGCAACUAUGCACUGGGGAGGCUGUGCAGGCAUACCUAAAUUUGUCCACCAGCCCCAUGCCCAGCUGUGUCACUGAACAUUAUUUGCAGGCCUUUAAAGCAAGCAGGCGGGGAUUAAAAUUUGUCAGUGCCUGUGAGGAGCUGCAAAGAGAAACAAUUUCUGGUCCUGGACACUUCACGAGGCCGGUUGUGCAUGGUGGCAUGCAGUGCCCAGGCCUUCCUUGCGCUGUGAUCCCACAGACAAGAUCUGAGCUACCUGACUUUGUUUUCCACUCUAUUAGCUGCUUCAGGAAAUGACACAGCUUGAAGACACCUACUGGGACAUCUUCUGUUCUUUCCCCAUGAUCUUCCUAUGUCACAGUUAGUGAUGGCCUUUGAGGUUUGUUGCUAAACAGCUUUGGAAGAGGCCUGACUCAAUGUAUUGUGGGGUUGCUCUGGAACCAUAGCUGCCAGCCCGGCUGGCCUUGGGAUUUUCCAUUUGCAACACUUCCUCCAUUUAUGAGGAGGGGGGAAAAAAAAACCAACAGAGUAACAAAACAGCAACUGAAAAUUGUAACAGCAAUUACUGUAGCCUUUCAGCAGAAAUUGAAGGGGUAAAAUUUGGACGCUUCAAAAACCUAUAAAUAGAGCAUCCAGAGCAGAAAGGUACAGGAAGGAAGAGGAAGCCUCUAAUAAAUUACAGAUCUUUAAAGGAUCCAAGUAGAGGGAGGAAAAAAGCCAACAACAGGAAAGUUUAAAAGAAGCCCAUACUGAAUAUUAUAAAUUCACGUGAGAAGGGCCUUUCUUCUCUUGGUGUAGAAAGACACAAAUGUUUUGGUAUACCAUCCUCAUGUAGGGAAAAGGUUGAGGCUUAAAUAGUCCACAACUGCUUUUGUUGUAUUGUGAUUAACAAGUCAUGCUGUUAAAAUUGUAUUAAAUGGGACUCAUGCCUUCUUGCUGUCACCAUUUUCAGAGCAAUUGCUUCUCAUUCAGCUUGCUCGUCCACUGAGAACCUGGCACUCAACGAAACGCAAAGUAUUAUUUAAGUUAAUAAAACAUCCUUGUUCCAAAUACCUACUGCUGUGAAAUGUGAACAAAGGAGGGACACCAGGUCCCAUUCUGUGUGCAGAAACCCAGAUGAAAUAGAUUCCAGUGUGAUUUUGUUUACAGUUGUCAUGGAAAUCCAGCUUCCCUCUGUGUGGUGCCAGGGAAGGCAAACACCUCCCUGCACACGCCCCAGUCACUACCAGCAAAGCCUCUCUGAAAAUUAUCUCUUAUGAAGCUGUGUCAUUAAUGGCUUCCUGCGAGGUUUCUUUUGGAAGCGGCAGAAAGUAUUCUUUAACUGUUGGUGUUGUCAGACUGCAACUUAGAAAUUAAAUGAUAAUUCUGAGAAAACAUACAACUACAAGGACACAUCAAGACGGGAAAUCUGUUUACUUAAUUACCUGCUGUUACUGAGGAAACUUGGUUUCAUUUUGAGGAUCUUCAGUUUACAGGUACUUUCUUAUCAUUGGAACAAAGACAAUUCUACCCAUGCAGAGAGAUUCAUGGCUUCCCUUUGCUUGAUACGAAGUUUAGCCCUGAAAAGGUUUCUAGGCAGAGGUAAGUAGGAAUAGAGA